rnacentral:lncRNA from 1 species
UUUAAUUAUACACAUUAAUAUAAAAAAUUAAUUAAAUAAAAAUAUUGUUCGGAAACGAGGAAGCCAAUCAAUCAUAACAAAAAAAAAACAGAGGAAGAGAAGAGAGUUUAAUAAGAGAAACCAUUAACUACCAUAUAAUACUAGUUAAUUGCCAGCAAAAACAUGUACAAGAAGUUUCUCAAAGAAACUAUUGAAAUUAAAAGAAAGAAAGACAGACAGAAGAAAGAGAACUUCGAAAGGGAAGUGUCUGACUAUAGCUAACCUAAGAUGAUGUCUGUCUGUAUAUUUAAUAAUAAUAAUACUAAUUUCUAAGAGUGACCAAGAAGGAUCAUCCUUUCAGCCAAACCAAGUGGUGAACGAGAACGAAUACGAUUAACAUCUCUGAAUCUUCUCAUCUUCAAUUCAGCUUCCAAUGAUGGGUGUUUGAUUUUCUCAAUUUCUUUCUUAAUUUUGAUCACUUGGCUAUGAACAGCAAGAACCACAUGAACCUCUUCAUCACUUUUCUUUGAAUCCAUCUUCUCUUCCUUUUUUCUCUCUCAACAAUAAAACAGAAUUUGUUUUUGCCUUGGAAUUCGAAUUGCACCUAUUCAAGGAUAUGAUGUGUAUUUAUAUAUGACCUCGGAAGGGAAAAUAAAUAAAUAAUAAAAUAUAUCAUAUAAAAACAAAUCAAAUCAAGUCAAAUCAAAUCAAUUAUAUAUCGGGAAGGAAAUAAGGAUAAAUAGUGAUUUCCUAUUUAUUUUUAAAAGGAAGGUUUAUCAGACCUCUCUCCCCUUCUCAAUUUGGAUUUAUUUGAUUGAAAA